CAGAGUUUAAAACUCCCUAAACCCAUUGUGAACCAUACCCAUAAUCAGUUGCUUCGGCGGCGCCCCUACAGGGGCCCGCCAGAGACCACUAAACUCUUGCUUUGUUAGCAAUGUCCUGCUCUGAGUGUUGACUGCAAGCUGUAAAUAAGUCA
rnacentral:misc_RNA from 1 species